GACGAACGCUGGCGGCGUGCUUAACACAUGCAAGUCGAACGGAAAGGCCCUGCUCUUGUGGGGUGCUCGAGUGGCGAACGGGUGUGUAACACGUGAGCAACCCGCCCUUGACUUUGGGAUAACUUCAGGAAACUGGGGAUAAUACCUGCUAGGAGCUCCUGCUGCAUGGUGGGGGUUGGAAAGUUUCGGCGGUUGGGGAUGGACUCGCGGCUUAUCAGCUUGUUGGUGGGGUAGUGGCAUACCAAGGCUUCGACGGAUAGCCGGCCUGAGAGGGUGACCGGCCACAUUAGGACUGAGAUACGGCCCAGACGGCUACGGGAGGCAGCAGUGGGGAAUAUUGCACAAUGGGCGGAAGCCUGAUGCAGCGACGCCGCGUGCGUAAUGACGGCCUUCGGGGUGUAAACCGCUUUCGCCUGUGACGAAGCGUGAGUGACGGUAAUGGGUAAAGAAGCACCGGCUAACUACGUG
rnacentral:rRNA from 1 species